UACGGGGGGGAGCAAGCGUUGUUCGGAUUUACUGGGCGUAAAGGGCGCGUAGGCGGUCAGCACAAGUCAGUUGUGAAAUCUCCGGGCUUAACCCGGAAAGGUCAACUGAUACUGUGCGACUAGAGUGCGGAAGGGGCAACUGGAAUUCUCGGUGUAGCGGUGAAAUGCGCAGAUAUCAGGAGGAACACCGGUGGCGAAGGCGGUUCUCUGGGCCUUACCUGACGCUGAGGAGCGAAAGCGUGGGGAGCAAACAGG
rnacentral:rRNA from 1 species